GUUCCAGCCGCCGCGGUAAUACGGAGGGUGCAAGCGUUGUUCGGAAUCAUUGGGCGUAAAGCGCGUGUAGGCGGCUUGGUAAGUCGGGUGUGAAAUCCCGGGGCCCAACCCCGGAACUGCAUUCGAAACUGCCUCGCUAGAGUCCCGGAGAGGAAGGCGGAAUUCCCGGUGUAGAGGUGAAAUUCGUAGAUAUCGGGAGGAACACCAGCGGCGAAGGCGGCCUUCUGGACGGUGACUGACGCUGAGACGCGAAAGCGUGGGGAGCAAACAGGAUUAGAUACCCCUGUAGUCC
rnacentral:rRNA from 1 species